rnacentral:rRNA from 1 species
UACGGAGGGUGCGAGCGUUGUCCGGAAUCACUGGGCGUAAAGCGCGCGCAGGUGGCUUGUUAAGCGUGUGGUGAAAGCCUGGGGCUCAACCCCAGGUCUGCCGUGCGAACUGGCAAGCUUGAGCGUAGUAGAGGCAGGUGGAAUUUCGGGUGUAGCGGUGGAAUGCGUAGAUAUCCGAAAGAACACCGGUGGCGAAGGCGGCCUGCUGGGCUACUGCUGACACUGAUGCGCGACAGCGUGGGGAGCAAACAGG